rnacentral:rRNA from 1 species
UACGUAGGGGGCAAGCGUUGUCCGGAUUUAUUGGGCGUAAAGAGCGUGUAGGCGGUUCGGUAGGUCCGUUGUGAAAACUCGAGGCUCAACCUCGAGACGCCGAUGGAAACCCUCGAACUAGAGUCCGGAAGAGGAGAAUGGAAUUCCUGGUGUAGCGGUGAAAUGCGCAGUUAUCAGGAAGAACACCCGCGGCUAAGGCGGUUCUCUAGUACGGUACUGACGCUGAGACGCGAAAGCGUGGGGAGCGAACAGG